rnacentral:rRNA from 1 species
ACGGGAGGCAGCAGUGGGGAAUAUUGGGCAAUGGGCGAAAGCCUGACCCAGCAACGCCGCGUGAAGGAAGACGGUCUUCGGAUUGUAAACUUCUUUGAUUGGGGAAGAACAAAAUGACCUACCCAAAGAACAAGUCACGGCUAACUACGUGCCAGCAGCCGCGGUAAUACGUAGGUGACAAGCGUUAUCCGGAUUUACUGGGCGUAAAGGGCGUGUAGGCGGCUUUACAAGUCAGAAGUGAAAUUCUCGGGCUCAACCCGGGCGCUGCUUCUGAAACUGCAGAGCUUGAGUGCUGGAGGGGAUAGCGGAAUUCCUAGUGGAGCGGUAAAAUGCGUAGAUAUUAGGAAGAACACCGGUGGCGAAGGCGGCUAUCUGGACAGUAACUGACGCUGAGGCGCGAAAGCGUGGGGAGCAAACAGGAUUAGAUACCCUGGUA